UCUUAAUCACUGGACCACCAAACAGACAGCAUAUACCAGCUGAUAUGAAGCCCCCAAGACACAUACAGUAGACGACAUUUGGGUCUGUGUUCAAUCAGAGAUGAUGCACCUAUCCUUCAAGACACUGAAGGCCCCAGGGAGUAUAAAGGGAGCAUACUUGAUUAGGGGAAAAAGCAAACUGAGAAAUUCAGAGUGAAGAUAAUCAUGAGGCAGAAGAUCUCAAGCACAGCUUGCGAAUAGAAGCAAAGGAACACUGAAGAGAUACAGCCACAGGGCCACUGCAUGCAUGAAUCUCAGGUGAAUAUCUUGUAUGUACAGCUACCUGAGUUUGUGAGGAUUCUGGCUUCUAGUGGCAUCUGGGCUGUGGAGUUUGACAAUGUGAAAUGAGGAGUGGCAUAUUAUCAGAACUUAGUCUGUAUCAGUUGAUAGUGCAAGAAAAUGAGAAAGAUUAAUCCUCACAGCAGAUAAAGCAAGAAGACGAAGAUGGUCAUCUUGCAUCUCUGACAGAGUAGAGUGGUAAGAUCUUCAGAAUAUUUAUUGAAAAGACUUUUCUCCAUUGAAUUGUAGUGCCUCUGCUGAACAUUGAUUGACCAUUGAUGUCUUGUUCUAUUUCUGGUUCUUGACUCAAUUUUAUUAGGUAUGUGUCUGUUGUAAUGUCUGUACCACACAGUGUUUAUUACUUUAGCUUUACAUAGUUUUUAUAUUAGAGUAUAUGAG
rnacentral:lncRNA from 1 species